GCAGGGACGAAAGUCUGGACUAGUGAUCUGACGGUGGCUUGUGGAUGCGCCGUCACUCAACGGAUAAAAGGUACCCCGGGGAUAACAGGCUGAUCUUGCCCGAGCGCUCAUAGCGACGGCAUGGUUUGGCACCUCGAUGUCGGCUCUUCGCCACCUGGAGCUGUAGGUGGUUCCAAGGGUUGGGCUGUUCGCCCAUGAAAG
rnacentral:rRNA from 1 species